UACCUCUGAUUGAUUUCCAUGGAAGUUAGGAACCUAAUUUAAGGCUCUGGGCCUAAUCAGCGACUAUCUCUACUCUUACUCUAGUCUAAAAGAAGGUGGACAGUUCUUAUCAGGGGUUAGAUCACUGCUGUCUAAGUGAACCUGUAUUGGAGACUUAAAAAAAGAAAAGCUGAUUUAAAUUCCACCCCUAAUUUCCACCAGCCUGACAUUAUCUUCUUUGCACAGUGCCAGGCACUUUUCCACAGGAAAGGAACUGCUUGAGAACAGGGACCUGACCCUACAGAUUUCCCCCCUGCAAAUGAUCCUUGCUCACAUGAAUAGUCCCAUUUCAGACAACAGGACUACAUGCCUCAGGAAGGGAAGCAGGACGGAGCCUAUAGAGUCUAGCAAUACAAGAAAAAGGCCAUAUGAGAGUUCGUCAGGGGCCACUUUUGCAAUAAAAAAACAUUACCGUUUUUCAGAAUCCCUCCCUCCCUUCUGCAUAAAGAGAUCUCCUUGCUGCCCAGCCCACACAUGCCCAGGGACCCCAAUAGUGACUCAUGGGCAAAGAAAAUUAAACAUGAAACAAAUCUGGAUGCUCUGUUAAUAUUUAUGGAAAUGAGGAAAUAGCACUCAUCACAGCAAGGCACAGUUCCUGCAGGUAAUAUGCUAACUAUCCUUACACGCUUCUGCCUAUACAAUGGCAUAGCAGUUCUUAGUUACAACUAACUGCUGUACUAGUCCUUGGCCGCUUUCGCCUGUGGUGCUGAAGGGUGGGAUGGUUUUGACAUGUAAAAAAAAAGCCCAAACGGGACUAAGAUGGGACCACGUGAUUCAUUUUUCACUUGACACAUAAUCACUAGUAUAGGAAAAGCUAGGGGCCUAACUCACCCCCUUCAUCCUAUAAGUAAUUUAACAGCAGAGCAUACACAGCAUUGGAGACCACACUGUAAGAUACAAUCCUGAGACAGACGGGGGAUGUGGCGAGAGCACAGACGUGUGGGGAACAGAAACAGGAGUAGGAGGAUAGAGGCAGAUGCUAAUUACAAACCAAAAUCCAUGACCCCAGAAAGGGCCCAGAAAUAGUUUGGAGGUUCUGCAGUGACAGGCUUGUUCCAGAAUAAAAUUAACAUAUUUUAGAUGCA
rnacentral:lncRNA from 1 species